rnacentral:rRNA from 1 species
AUGAAGCCUCUGUGUGCUGCAGCAAGCAGGUUGUCCAAUCUGAGCUCUGAGAACAGAAAGCUAAUUCAACAGCUGAAUGAACUGAAGGCUAUCCUAGCGAAAGCCAAGGACUUCCGUGAACUGCUCUGCUUACCAUCUGGUUAUAAUGCAGAUAGCCACAUCAUAUCGUCAGCUAUUGUUCCUGAGACCACAUCACUGCCGCCUCUGAAAGUGAUUGGUCGUGACAAGGAUCGGGAUCAUAUAAUAGAUCUUCUUACCAAGACAACAGCUACUACUGAGUCUAAUACAGCUAUGUACUCGGGUUUGGCCAUUGUUGGAGCUGGAGGCAUGGGAAAGUCCACCUUGGCACAACUUGUUUACAGUGACAAGAGGGUCAAAGAAUAUUUUGAUGUGACAAUGUGGGUAAGCAUCUCACGCAAACUUGAUGUCCGUCGUCAUACACGAGAGAUCAUCGAGUCUGCCUCUCAAGGGGAAUGCCCACACAUUGAUAACCUUGAUACUCUGCAGCGCAAGUUGACAGACAUACUGCAAGAAGCAGGGAAAUUCCUACUUGUGUUGGAUGAUGUUUGGUUUGAACCUGACAGUGAGGGUGAAUGGGACCAACUGUUAGCUCCUCUAAUUUCCCAACAUAUGGGAAGCAAAGUUUUGGUAACUUCUCGACGGGAUACAUUUCCUGCUGCUCUUUGUUGUGAAGUGUGUCCUCUGGAAAACAUGGAAGAUGCUCAGUUCUUGGCACUCUUCAAACACCAUGCAUUCUCUGGACCACAAAUCAGAAAUACGCAGCUGCGUGAAAAACUCGAAGAUUUUGCAGAGAAGAGUGCUAAAAGACUUGGACAAUCUCCUUUGGCAGCAAAAGUUGUGGGUUCCCAGUUGAAACAAAAAACACAUAUCAAUGCAUGGAAGGAUGCUCUAACUAUAAAGAUUGACAAAUUAGGUGAGCCCAUGAGAGCUCUGUUGUGGAGUUAUAAGAAGUUAGAUCCAUGUUUGCAGAGGUGCUUCUUAUAUUGCAGCUUGUUUCCAAAAGGCCACAAGUAUGUCAUUCAUGAUUUGGUUUAUCUUUGGAUGGGUGAGGGUCUUGUUGAUUCGUGUGACCAAAACAAGAGAGUGGAAGAUAUUGGGAGGGAUUGCUUCAAUGAGAUGAUCUCCGUUUCGCUUUUUCAACCAGUUUCUGGGAAAGACACUCCAAAAUACGUUGGCCCGUGUUAUGUUAUGCAUGAUCUCCUGCAUGAGCUGGCAGAAUCACUCUCCAAAGAAGAUUACUUCAGAUUGGAAGAUGAUAAGGUGACAGAAAUACCAUCCACUGUCAGAUUCCUAUCUGUUCGUGUUGGUAGUAUGCAAAAACACAAGCAAAGUAUCUGCCAGCUACAUCAUUUACGCACUAUUAUCUGCAUAGACCCCCUAAUGGAUGAUUUAAGUGAUCUUUUCAAUCAGAUACUACAAAAUUUGAAGAAGCUGCCGGUGCUAUCUUUGUCAUUUUACAACAGUAGUAAGUUGCCAGAAUCUAUUGGUGAGUUGAAGCACCUUCGGUAUUUGAACAUCAUCAGAACACUAAUUUCUGAAUUGCCAAGAUCAUUGUGUACUCUUUACCACUUGCAAUUACUUCUGUUAAAUGUCAAAGUUGAUAGUUUCCCUGAGAAACUCUGCAAUCUAAGGAAGUUACGACAUGUUAUACAACUUGGAAAUAGAAUAGACAUAUCAAACAAAGAAUCACGGCCGCAAAUUCGUAACAUUGGCAAGCUAACUUCGCUUCAACAAAUUAAGGUAUUUUCUGUGCAGAAGGAAAAGGGAUAUGAGUUGCAACAGCUCAGGGAGAUGAAUGAGAUUCGUGGCAGUUUAUGUGUUACAAAUCUUGAGAAUGUCACUGGGAAGGAUCAAGCCUUAGAAGCAAAGCUACAUCAGAAAAGUCAUCUUAGUAGGUUGAAACUUCUCUGGAGUUGCGAGAAUAGCACAAAUGCGGAGGAUAAUUUACAUUUGGAGAUUUUAGAAGGCCUAAUGCCACCGCCUCAACUUAAGCACCUUAAAAUCUGCGGCUACAAAUAUCCAAAAUAUCCAUGCUGGUUAAUUGAUGUAUUACAGAUGGAGCUUUAG